rnacentral:misc_RNA from 1 species
GAAGAGUCAGCAUGAGGCUGUUGUGGCGUUUGUAGAUUCUUGAGAAGACCACACUUGAGGGCAUUAUCUGGGACACCUAACUCGGUUUUGUUGGCAGUAUCCUCGGGGUUGACAACCUUCAUGUAUGUUUCCUGCCCGAGGUACCAUGUAUCGAGAUUCUCCACACGGACGUUCCAGACACCAACGUUGUCCAGUGACACUAGAACAGCAGUCCACGCUCCCGGGAAAACCUGUGUUGUGCAUCGAGAAAC